rnacentral:lncRNA from 1 species
GGGUGGUGAGUUCUUGUAAGAAAAAGUUCCUAGCAUGGCUCUGGUGGAGGAUUUGAAGGCAAACAGGUGGUAGUGCUACCGGUUCCUUGAGAAGGACACCAGCAGUAAUUCUUAUGAAGAAAGACUGCAUCCCUACUAGUUGGAAAGGACCCUGAUCUGUCUCGUGUAGAUCACCAUAGAGGGCUUCUACUUUGGAGUCUUAUAGAGAUCAUUCUAUUACCUGAUCCUCAUCUUCAGAAAGGUAUAAUUCUUAUCUUUUUGCAUGCUUCAAGUCUUUGAUUAUAGUCAUCAAGGAGUUCUU